UAUACACAGCAAUUUCAGAUCUAUCUUCUUUCUUCUCUUGCAGCUUAUGAAUCACUGACCUAGAGUCUCCCUAAACUUCCACGCCCUUCAGGCCGAGUUGAAAUCCCAGAUCUAGUGCCUGAUAACACACCAACACCUCGGUUGCAAAAGCAGACGAUCAAGAACAAAGAAAAUCGAACUUAGAUCGAGGGAAGUCCAAUAUAGUUGAAUAGUCGACUCGUUUCCAUCUGAAAUUCGUACGAGUUAUCUUAGCUACUCAAGGCUCGGGGAUAGUCGAGGAUUGUCACCAUACUAUCGAACUCAUUUUGGUACUUUUGAAAGUGUAAAUAUUUUUAAGUAUAGCAUGUAUAGGAUAGAAUGUAUAUGUAUUUAAGUUUUGAUAUGUAUAUAUGUUAUGCCAUGAGAGUUGGCUAGCAAAUGGUAUGUUUGUGCUUAGUUUUGGUAAAUGGUUUGUGAUGCUAAA